AAAAAAAUCAUUACAUAUCAGAAAAGCGCGUGCCGUCACGGUCCACGCCGUGGACGCAUCUGGCCUCCUUAAGCAUGUGAGAGAUCCAGCCACCUUUGGUACAUAGUACAUAGAGUACCUCAGCACGGGGGUGAAUAUUUAUCGCGACACAUUAGUGCAGCCAAUGAGAUAACUCUGAGAUUGAGUUGCGCGAGUAGAGAGCAGACGCGCGCACUCAGGGCGGUUUUCCGAGCUUGGACUUCCUGGAAGGGGUCCAAGUUGUGAUGAAAUGCCGAAGAGGGGGUAACAUUGACAAUGAGUCCGGUAAGAGUGGGGGGCAAGUGGAAGGGGGUUGAUGUAACGUGAUGUAGAUGUCCAUAAGGGCACGUGUCGGAGGAAGGGGAGAAGAGUUCGACGCGGUGUUGUAGAGAGCAACUCGCCCCGCUGGAAUUAGUCUGCGUUUGGCGAGCAACUGAGUAGUGUGCGCUUGCGUGGCUCGCGAGGGUGGACGCGCUCGCGUCUUCCGGACGCGAGCUGCCAAGAGCCUUCAACCCCUAUCGCCGUGAUAACUCUCUGAGUCAUCUCUUUUUUCAACAUCGAACUCACUGGCUCGACUUUUUUUAGUUUUAUUUUUGUUACUCAAGUUUUUUUUACUUUGUUGUUAAACUUUAGUUUUGUUUUUUUUACAAUCAAAAUGUCACUUGACAAGUCAGACGUUUAUUUAAGAAAAUAAUCAUAACAACGAGCACAAAAUGUACAAAUUAAUUUUUUAAAUAAUUUUAACACUGGAGUGGUUAAAUUAAGCAGUACAAAAGAAAAAAAAUCAAUUUUUUACAUACCUUAAAAGAAGUAAAUUACUCAAAUAUUCUUCAU